CUUCGCCCGCCCCUACACGACGGAAUACAAAGGCUCAACCGAGGCUGAACGCGUGGCUGCGUUGUCAGAGAGCUCGCUCUUCCACAUCCCUCCUGCAAAGAAAAGAGAGAAGCGGGAGAGUGAAGG